rnacentral:misc_RNA from 1 species
UGCGUCGUAAGGCCCCGCCUUGUGUUGAGAUUCCCGGACACGGGACUCUCCAAGCAAAUGGGCGUCCGUCGAGCCUGAACCGCAACAAUGUGCGUGCAGGGACUCCGGCGAGCGCCGAAACCCGUCCA